UUUUAAAAUGAAAACUUUCUAAAAAUAGUAGGUUAUUAUUAAAAAAAUGCAACCUAUUAAUGAAAAAUUCUGAAGGAAUACUCGUCUAUCAACAAAAAUUCUUGUUAUCCUUAUUCCUAAGUCACAAUCUCAAAUCUACAAUAGUUCUCUGUAGAAAUAAAAACGUCCCAAAAAUAGCAUCUUUCAUAAAAAUUAUUGAAAAAAUGCAACUUAUUGAUGAAAAAUUCUGAAAGAAUACUCAUCUAUCAACAAAAUUUGUUGUUAUCCUUAUUCAUAAGUCACAAUCCCAAACCUACCAAAGUUCUCUAUAAAAUAAAAAGUUUCUAAAAAUAGGAGGUUUUUCAUAAAUUAUUUAAAAAAUGCAACCUAUCGAAGAAAAAUUAUGAAAAAAUACUCAUCAAUUAACAAAAUAUCUUAUUAUACUAAUUUCUAAGUCACANNNNNNNNNNNNNNNNNNNNNNNNNNNNNNNNNNNNNNNNNNNNNNNNNNNNNNNNNNNNNNNNNNNNNNNNNNNNNNNNNNNNNNNNNNNNNNNNNNNNGAUCCUCUACUCAAAAGUUAGUUUACGUACUUCCAGUACAGAAAAAAAGAAUUAUACACAAAAAUAAUUAAAUUAAAUUUUUUUAUUUUUGUAAACUUUAAGUCAAUUUAGUUAAAAUAUUUAAAUUUUCCUUAAACAUUUGAACUACAGAUUGGUUAUAUAAAUUUUCCUUAACCGAAUCAUUUUCCUUCUUUUUUUGAAAAACAAAAUGAUUCAUUCAAUAGAAAUCAGUUCACCACAAUGAUGAAGUAGAGUAGAGAGGGGCCUUUGCCAAAUAGUCCGCAACCGAUUUUUGAUACCUAAGGAUAAAUGAGAAAAAAACAAAGUCGAAAAAAAAUGAUAGACAAUUAUUAACAUCCAUGAGAACUCCAAAGAGUUCUCUAACCGAAUUUAACAUAUGCAUUUCUGGUGCUAUUCAUUUUCUAUAGCUUAUGUUUAGAGAAGCUUGAGAAACCAGUUCUACAUUUUGUCAGUCUCUUAAUAAUACAACUAUCUUUUAAUUAUUAAAAAUUUAGUUAUAUAUCUAAAUUAUACUCCCUCUGUUUUUAUUUGUAAGUAGUUUUAGUUAAAAGUGUGAAUAUUAAGAAAACUUUUACUUUUGAAUAAAUAGCAUUUAAUACAUAAAUUCAACCAAUAAUAAAAAAAAGUAUGAAUUAUUUGAUUGGUCACACAACAUGUAAUAAAUGUAAAAGGUGCUUUGGAUUAUGUAAACAUCAUUGUGAAACAAACAUUUUUUGAUAAAACUACUUACAUAUCAAAACAGAGAGAGUAUUAAAUUAUUACUCUCUCCGUUUCGAUUUAAUUGUCGUUGNNNNNNNNNNNNNNNNNNNNNNNNNNNNNNNNNNNNNNNNNNNNNNNNNNNNNNUCAAAAUAAGUGUCGUUUUAGAGUUUCAAUGCAAAAUUUAUUAAUAAGAUUCUCCAUUUUAUUUUUUUAUUGGUUGAAAUAUGGUUAGGUGUAUAGGUAAUUGUGUUUUUGUUUUAGAAAUAUACAAAAUCAUAUGUUUUUUUAAUUUGUGUGCAUAAACCUAAAACGACAAUUAAAGUGAAACGGAAGGAGUAUUAUAUUAUAUCUGAUAGACUAUGUUUGAGAGAUUCAUCAUUGAAAAUGCUUUUGAUACUUUAUAUAUAGAAGUUUUAGAUACAUAUUAUUAAUAUAAGUACAUAAUCCACAAUUUCUUUAUGUUGAAUGCAUCUUUCCCACACUAAAAGACUAAUAUUGCGCUAAUUAGUCCUUGCGUAUGGUCGAAUCUUGUUGUUAAAAAAAAAAGUCCUUACGUAUGGUCUACUUCUGACUGGUUUAAGAUAACGUAGGAUGAUUGGAUGAAAAUUUAGGACCACUAGAUUCAUCACAGCUAGUCGUUUAAGAUUAACCUGAAAACUAUACGUGAAAACUGCAGUACGUAGGGUGUAACCCGUGACCCAUGGAAUGGAACGAGCAGAAACACUAUGUUCCUUAAUAUUCCUUAAAUUUUUUUACCAUUUACGAGGAAUAAAUUUUUUUUUUCGUUCAUUUGUUUGUAGAUAAUUAUAGAACAAAUCAAUCUCUCGUUAAUUUUGAUAAGGAACCAUCAUUCCUAAAAUUUUAUUCAUACUCGUUCUUUUUCUAUCCUUUCCUAUUGUUCCUAUGAUGAUUACCAGUCACACCCGUAGUGUAUUCAUAAUGCAGGACCACUCUAAGGUAAAUAUGUGUCUCAGAUUUUGCUCUAAAUCAGACGUCAGAACUUUUAUAGUGUUUCUUUUUGUUUUUUGUCAUAAGACUUACGAAAUUUUUUUUAACUUGCACUAUAUUUCUUCAAAUGUAAUAGAUCUCUGCAUUCAAUUACAAAAGGAAUAAAAAGUCUUAGUUAGUAGAAGAACUAAAAGAUGAAUAAAAAUGUUACUAGUUUUGUUUAGAUACAGAAUUGCCCCAGAAUCUUGAAAACUGCCCGCACUUACAUCUUUGCACCGACAUAACGUUUACUUUCCAGUAAUGAACUGGAUACAAAUUCCCCUCAUGGUUACUAAUUUGGGCAUUAAUUAAUGUGGUCAUAUUCUUAUCAAGCUAAGUAGAAAAGAGCGAUUGGAACACUGAAAACUAAGUCGAUUAUAGGGUAUAGUAGUUGGAAGAUUAACAUAGUCUCCACUCUUCACAUUAAGAUCAUGAAAAACCCAUCGAGUAUCAAAGGAUAUAUAUAUAUAUAUAUAUAUAUGUAUAUCAGGUUUAACUGGUGCAAGAUGGUGCAAUAAAAUGAAAUAUCCAUUAUUGAAGGCCUUUGUCAUACACAAUCCAGACUUCAGGUAUUUCAAAAAACACACCAGACACAAACUAUUUAGUAUUGAUCAGAAUUUUUGUGCAUCAACCAAAGGGUCCAGCGCUACAUUUGUAUAUAGCUCCCUGGAAAUUCCGGAAAGUACAUUGCUCCUUAGCUAACUUGCAAAAAGACUUCUUAAAAACUGAAUAUAUCAAUCAAGUUGCUAAACUGAGUCCGAUAGCCAGACCAGAACCAAACCAACUCUUUGCAUGAAAUAUCUUUUUUUUUUGGAACGCUCAUGAAAUAUCUUCAAGUGUCUAAAAUUGACAAUAAACCAAAUGUUAUGGACCACUAAAAGAUAUUUCUGAUUAUUAAAAAAUCUAUCUUUAUUUUCAAAGUAAAACAACGACUUUAAUGGUGGACUUGAAGGCACGAUAUUAUUCGCAGUUGAUGUAAGGAAAUUAAUUCGAAAUACAUAAGGCUUAUUUAUUUUCCAUGUAGGAACAAACUAAGAAAUAACAUUUUUAGUUCAACUAUAAAUAAAAACAUAGAACGUUUCAGUCGACUGUCUAAUCUGCAACCACAAUUUUGACCAAAUAAUAUAAAGCUUAAGCUUUGUAUAUGAUCUAAUUUGCAUUUUGAGAACCAACGAACUUGGACUAGUAACACUUGAGGGAUAAUUCCAAUACGAUAAACCGCAGUUCGAUCUCCGUUGGCCACCAAAUAAUUUAACAUUGUACUCAUAUGUAACAUUUCAGAGUUCGAUGUACUAAAUAUAUAUUUUUAAAAUUAGCUUAUUAGAGAAAAUAAUAUAAAAUAGUUUAUUUGUAACAAAAGCACACUUUGAUUGGCCAUUUAAUUUUCAAAUUUAAGUUUGAAUUGAAGUUUCCUUGAUUAUAGUUUUCUUUUCUUGGUCAGCAUCAUCCGUUACUCUCAGAAGAAAUUUGUAUCCUGCACUUAUUUCCCAUUACAUUUCCCAACCUUCUAAAUACAAGGUCAUAACCAAAAUAUUAAAAUCCUAAAGCAAAUCAAAAGUAUUAUUGGGAAGCAAGACCUAUAACUAAUAGGAAGAGAUGACGACGUGGCCGGCUAAAUCUUCUCUGCCACAGACGGUAAGUCCAGUCUACUUUGUGCAGAGCCCACCGAACACAGACGUAGACAAGAUAUCAACCGGAUCGGGUCUUAGCCCGUUCGGAUCACCCGUUAACCGACAGGGCCAGGUCAGUCACUACAACCAUGAGUCUGUGGCCGUGUCACCUUCGACUCUACGGUCCUCAGGACCAUUGAGAAACGGAUACAGUAGUCUCCAAGUGCAUGAUCAUGACCAAACAAUCGACGAGGAUGAUGACGAUUACGAUGAAGUAGACGGUUCGGAUGAGAAAAGAGGAAGGAGAACGAGGUUUUACACUUGCUUGUUGUUUACGUUUGUGCUGGCCUUCACUAUCUUCUGUCUCAUUUUGUGGGGAGUUUCCAAAUCUUUCUCACCUAUUGUCACUUUGAAGGUAAUUCAUAGAGCUUUGACUGUUCCGGAAAUAAAUUUUGCUCUUGUGAAAAUUAUUACAUUCUCUAGAGAUAAAAUAUUUCUCUGUUUUCGUAAUUAUAUUUUGUGAAGUGUGAAAGCGAAAUUAGUUUUACGUUUUGAUUGUUGUUUUUCUUAACAUGUAGUAUAACUUCCAAAAUGAAUUAAAAACAUAAAAAUAAACAUAAUCAGAUAUUCAAAUGACAAUGAUGCCACAAUAAGUGUAUUUUGUGGAGUUUAAAAAUUUAAUAUGAAGAAUUAUAUAAAUAAAUAUACGGAAAAAUGAAUAUGUAAUACAUAUAUUUUUAAGUAUUAUCAAAGUAUUAUAAUGUUAAAAAGUAUUAUAAGUGUUACAAAAAAAAGUUAAAAAGUAUUAUAAAAAGAAUAAGUAUUAUUCGUUCACAGAAUGUUUGCAUAUAUGUAUUACUUUAACAAAACAUAUUGUGUGAAAUUAAAUUUCUAUCACAAAACUGUAAUUAAAAAGGUGUUCAUGUAAUGUUAUCUGUACAUUCAGGGGAUGGUAAUCGAGAGCUUGAACGUGCAAUCCGGGAACGACGCAUCGGGAGUGCUCACAGAUAUGCUCACUCUAAAUUCAACGGUCACGAUGUUAUACAAAAACCCUGCGACUUUCUUCACAGUCCAUGUCACCUCCUCUCCCCUCCUCUCCCCUCCAGCUCAGCUAUUACCAACUCAUCCUCGCCUCCGGCCAGGUAAACAAUUUCACAUCUUAUUGCUUGAACCGGCCGGUUAUAUGAUUUAUGAACUACUUUAGUUUUUUUGGUUGUGAGAAAAAAUAGAUGGAAAAGUUCUCUCAACGAAGGAAGACCGAGAGAAUCAUUGAGACCAAAGUAAUAGGCAUUCAAAUUCCUUUGUACGGAGGCGUACCAGCUCUAUACGCGCAACGAGCUAAACCAGACCGAGUUGUUUUGCCUUUGAAUUUAACUUUUACGUUGCGAUCACGGGCCUAUGUGCUCGGCCGAUUAGUCAAAACGAAGUUCUACACGAGCAUGAGAUGCAGCAUCACUUUCCAUGGCGAUAAACUUGGCAAGAAAAUUGAUUUCUUGAAGUCUUGCUCUGAUCAUUGAUAGAAAAUCAGCAGCGAAAUCAGUUCUUUAUGUUUAUUAGGGAAGAUUAAAUUAUUUUGAUGAGAUAUAUACGUGUGAAGGUCUGGACCAAUAUAAAUAGGGUUGUAAUUAAUUUUUUUAUACUACUAUAUUUGAUCGAUAAUCAUUAUUUCCUUUUUUUGUGAGAAAUCUUUGAAUAAUCAUAAUUACAAAAUUCAAUUAUUUCCGUUAAUUUUUAUCCAUAAAAUAUAAAAUAUAAUGAUUUUGUUAUCUUUUUGUGUAAAUAAAAGAGUUGAAACGUUGGUGGGGAUUCAAUACGCUGCCGUUUUCUUAAUCUCCAUGCCUAGUGGUCAUUAGGUUCCUACUUGAACAUCCUGUGACGGAAUACUUCAGGGAUUGAAGAAGUUUGCAUGUAAACCCUUAUCAGCCAAGCGCAGAGCCGAUGCAACCACAAACAAAACGCUGAAAGACGCUCCUAUGCUUCCCACCGAUACGUUGAACCACCACAUCAGACUUUCCCUUUGGGGCUGUUUAAUAGAGAUCCACAUGAAACACGGGUAUGUAAAUGUAACCAGCAAGCCUAUAGCUCCAAUAAGAACCGCGAGAUAAGGCAAGAACGUGAAUCCAACGGCUACAAAGAAACAAACCAAACACAAGAACACACGAAACAUCAUCCGGACAAAGACGGAGCAAGGCUUGUGUCUCUUGGUCGUGUACACCAUCUCUGCGUUGUCACAAGCUGGCAUUAAGUUUAUCGGAUAUGAACAUAAGCAGUUGAUGAUGAACGUGAUGUGUAUGAAACAAGCGGCUCGUUUUGAGUAGUCUUGUUCGUAAAGUUCCAAGUAGUUGCCUAUUGGACCUCCUGUGGCCGGUAUCUAUCAUAUAUAAGAAUUAAUAUUAAAGUUCAAACACAUAAAAGCAAUAAUGUGUUGGAUUUUGACAUACCUUGUCACCGUAUGCCCAAUAUACAACAAUGGCUACUAGAAACAUACAAACUGCAAUGAACACAUGAGAGAUCACCACAGCUCUCCACAUUGUCUUUCUCGAAGGAUUCUUUGAAUCGGAAGGAAGAGUACCCUACAAAAAUAUCACAAGAAACCUUGUCAAUACUAUCCUAAUUAAAGUUGUAUAUAAAUAAGUUUUAAAAUGCUAUUUUUCUUAGUAUUAUCUUAAGACCUGUAUCUCGAGGAUGAGGUUGUUCCCGCGAAAUGAUAUAGCUAUCAAUCCAAUGGCGUUAAAAAUGGUAUCGAAACUUGUAUCCUUUGUAGCGUAAGAGAUAUUGUUUUGAUUCCUAUGCGGAAUACUAGCUAAAGGUAAACUCCAGAUUGCGGUGCAGUAUGCUAUGGCCAUAACACCACCGAUCAACGAGAGUCCAAAAAGAGAAUUUAGAUUUGGAAACUGACACAUGACCACUGCGAGGCAGCUGAAGAUCACGAAGCAUUGCAAGGUAGUAAGUGGCACUUUGCCAUCUUCAGACAUAAUGUGUACAAGUUGUUUUAUUGUUUUUCCACCGGUUAUAACCAGAAUCGAACAAGCUCCUCCUGAGAGAUACAUCACAGGGAAUAUUCCAAGAAGUUUCCCCAGCUUCACACCUAUUAUAUUGUUAUCGUGGCAUAACGUUAAAAUUGUUGUAUGACAAAAAAACGACAAAGUUCUAAAGAAUUUAGUAUUUACCGAAUGAAGCAAUUGCGAGUCUCAAGUAUCUGCUGAAACGUAUUCCGUGUACGGCUUCGUGGAGAUGAACAAGAAGCCAUAUCGUGUAAAGCUUCCAUGCAAAUCCAACCGUUAAAAUUAUCACUCCCCAUACCCUGGAAAAAAAAACUUUCUGAUUAUGGUAAGAAUUGAAAGAGAAGUUAAUUAAAAGAGAAAAGUUUUAUUUGAAAUGGGAUUUUACCAUCCUAGUGCUGCGAAAGCUGCAGGAAGAAGAAGAACUUGUAAACCAAGUCCCGAGCAGAAAAGAUGAAACGUUGCCGUAUAAACAUUCCCUUUUCUUGAUUCUGUGAUCGGCAGCCACUCUUCUAACGGAAUCCGCCCACCAUCUCCGUCGGAGGUUGGCUGUGGAUCCUUGGAGAGUGUUUGUGACAUAAAUGAAGGAGAACCACCACGUUCUUGUGAUUCUAAAUCAAACAAUGUGGCCAAUGCUUUUUUUGACAUUGUAUAAAAUAUUAAAAACCCUUUUUGUUUCUCUCUCUCUCUCUCUCGAGGAUUCAACGUACAGCCACAAAUUGAAUGAGCUAUGCAUUCUUCCUCUCCAUUCACUGGAUUAUAUAGUUAAAUUAUCGGGAACGUGCGUAAUUGGGAAGCUGCGUUAUUAAAUUUACUUGGGAGUAUUUUAUAGAGGUCAUUUAAAAUUUCGUCUCUUAAGUACAUUUUCAUUAUUGUAUAUAUAUUUUCCUUAGGUCGGACUCUAUAUAAUCAAAUCAAAUAAAAUCAAUAAUACUUAAAGAAUAUUGGUGCACAUGUUAUCUAUAAUUGAUAACACAUUAUCAUUAUUAAUUCAUCAUAAUUAUAUACAAUAUGUUGAGUGUGGGCGAGUUGAAACAAGAAAUCAAUUAUAAACACUGGGAGUGAUAAGAUAAUGACAUAAGAAUAAUGACGUAAUCAGUUAUGUCACUUUCAAAUACUGAAAAGUGAGACCCACGCGACGUGUAUAAAUCGAAGUCUUCUGAUUUUGUUGGGUGGUGGCUUUAUAACUCAAGUGGGUCUGGUCGGGUGCAAAAGUUUCUAAUCUGGUUUGCGUUUAAAUUGCUGACCUUCUAGUCAAACAAGCGUCAAUAUUGAGCCGAACUUCCUUCGUCUCUUUGGUUACACGAUUUAAAUGUUUAAGACUUAUUCUUGGGUUUACCAACCAAUUGGAUUAUGUUAUUUCAAAUUUGAUAUCUUUUAUAAAAGAAAACAAAAUAUUGUCAAGUUAUAUUAUAUUUUUAAAGUAAAAAGAUAAAAAAUAAAAAAUAAAAAUAGUAGUAAUUACAAAAAAAAAAAAUUUAACGUCGUCAGGAAAAAACUAAACCUUAAAUCCUAAUCCCUAAACCCUAAACCCUAAAUCCGAAACCCUAAACCCUUGGGUAAACUCUAAACCCUUGGAUAAAUCAUAAACUCUAAAUCAAAAACACUAAAACACUCAAGGGUUUAGGAUUUUAGUGUUUAGCGUUUUUGAUUUAGAGUUUAUGAUUUAUCCAAUGGUUUAGGAUUUACCCAAGGGUUUAGGGUUUACCCAAGGGUUUAGGGUUUCAGAUUUAGGGUUUAAGGAUUAUGAUUUAGGGUUUAGUGUUUUGCUGACGACGUUAACAAUAUUUUUUAAAAAAAAAUCUUUUUUUUGUAACUACUAUUUUUUUUAUCUUUUUAUUUUAAAAACAUAAUAUAAUUUGACAAUAUUUUGUUUCCUUUUUUAAAAGAUAUCAAAUUUGAAAUAAUAAAAUUUUAUUGAUUGGUGAACCUAGAGGCUAGGGUGAACCCAAGAAUAACUCGUCAUUUUCUUAGUUUAAUAGUAUUGAUAACUUACCAUGAAUAAAUAAUAUUUUUUGAAGGUAAUCCCACGGAUAAUGGAAGAUGAUGUCACGUCUUUUAAUUAAUGACUUUUUUAAAUGAAAGAUAAGUGAUUAAACAUUGCUUCUUGUUGCCAUCCCUUGUGGCAACACACUGGAAUUUUUUUUUUUCAAACUAGAAGUUAAAAGAGAACUGUUAUAUAAUAACAACUAGAUAUUGAUCCGCGUGGAUGUUGGUUUGUACAUUUUAUACAUCAAUAUUUAUUUUUUAUAAUUAGUGUUAUAUAUUUUAGAUGUAUCAUAAUAUAACUAAUGAUAUUCAAAAGACCUGGACCGAAUCAGGUAAUAUGGUUAUUUUGUUACAAAUAUCCGAAUCCGCUUUAGAUACAUUGGUUAUUUAGAUAUUUUUAGGUUCAUAUACAUCAGAACUGAAUUCAUCCAGAUCCAGAAUGACUCAACUCAAAACCCAUACAUAAAUUUAUAAUAUUUAAGCGGGACCUUGUUUCAAAACAAAAAAAAAAACGAUACCCGAAAGGAACAACAUGUACAUAAAUGGAUAGAUAAUGUUCAUUUACAACUGAUUUUAUAAACUAAUAAAAAAAAUUUAUUUUUAUGUGUUUGGCUAAAAUAGGUGAAAUAAAAAUAGUUUUUUGUUAAGUAAAAUAAUUAUAUGGAGUGAAAAUUAAGUGGCAAUAAAUGUAGCACAUUUUUAUUAUUUUUAUUUAAGUUAUUAUUUUAUUUACAAAAACAUAUCUUUGAAUUAUGUUUUUGGCUACGUAAUUUUCCACCGAUUGAAACUCAAAUAAAAAUGUUUAAAUAAAACAAACUAAACCAAACAUUUAAUCAUAUGAAAAACCUAGUUAUUUAAAAAAUUUGAUUUUAUAAUUGGCACAAAGUUAAUAUUGAUUAACUAAUAAAUAAAAAUAUGCACUACUAUUAUGGUAAUAUAAUUAAUGAUGUAAAUUAUUGUUAAAGUAAUAUAAUUAAUAAAAUUGUUAAACUAAGUGAAAUAUGAAAAUACAAUUAAUAGAUACUGCUAUUCAUAUAUCCAAACAAAUUUUAUUAAAACUACUAUUCAAGUUUCCAAACAAUCUCAUUGUGUACUUUAACUUUAAUAAUAUAGAUUACAAAAAUAUAUCUUUGAAUUAUGUUUUUGGCUACGUAAUUUUCCACCGAUUGAAACUCAAAUAAAAAUGUUUAAAUAAAACAAACUAAACCAAACAUUUAAUCAUAUUAAAAACCUAGUUAUUUAACAUUUUUGAUUUUAUAAUUGGCACAAAAUUAAUAUUGAUUAACUAAUAAAUAAAAAUAUGCACUACUAUUAUGGUAAUAUAAUUAAUGAUGUAAAUUAUUUUUAAAGUAAUAUAAUUAAUAAAAUUGUUAAACUAAGUGAAAUAUGGAAAUACAAUUAAUAGAUACUGCUAUUCAUAUAUCCAAACAAAUUUUAUUAAAAUUAUUAUUCAAGUUUCCAAACAAUCUCAUUGUAUACUUGAACUUUAAUAAUAUAGAUUCGAUGUUUCUUAUUUUUGAAAAUGGUUUGGUUAGGUGUAAAGUCUGGACUAAAAUAUAAGUUAAUCCCCCUCGAGAAUUCACUUAAUAUGAUUUGAUUAGUCUAGUUAAUUAUGACUCAAUAUAUGCAUAUUAUAUGUUUUAUCUUUAACAAGUCACAAUGACGUGCUUCCCACAUAAUCAAAUCUAGUUAUAUAUACAGUACACUAAAAAUACAUAUAUACCUAACCAUAUAUAUGUUUUAUACUUGUACUGACAGGUUUCUAAUAUCACCUUGGUUACUUUUUUUCAUUUCGGAUUGGGAUGUAUUAAAUAGUAAGUUACAAUUUAAAAUAAACAACAUCGUAUUGCAGAAUCAGCAAGCAUAAGAAAUCAGAGAUCGUCAAAUUCAUUUAAAAUAUAUAUAUUUGUUGGAUAUCUUUCUGACAUUUUCUUAUGACUUCACCCCAAUAAAUGUUUAUAAAUCAUGUUGCAAAGUCAGCAAGCAUCAGCAUAAUGUUUAUAAAUCAGUCUUCUAUAUACUUUAAUCAGUAAACAAGAUUAUGUAUAUUGUGGCCUUGUGGGAUAUAUCUCAAAAUAAUAUCUUUUGAAUACUUGAACAAAAAACGUAUAGUUAAAGUCAAAUCGUAGGAAGUUCCAACUUCUGAAGUCACUGCUAUACAUUCAAGCAUCUCAAAUUAUUCAAUACUAAAUAAAUAUAAAAUCGGAUAUAUUUUGCCGAGUUCGUCUGUUUAAACUAACUUUGAGCAUGUUGGAAAAAAAUGAAACUUAAGUUGAGCAUACUUCAGCAUUUUUCUGAAGCAAAGAACGUGUAAGGAGAUAAAUCGGUCAACUUCAUCUUACGUAAGCCUUCGUAUCUUUAACCAAAAAAAAAAAAAAAGCCUUCAUAUCUAACAUUUUUAAACAUACAUAAACAAAGCAACAACAUAUUUAAAAUAUUUUUUUUUGUAAACUAACAUAUUUAAAAUAUUAUGAUGCAGAUGUUAUUAAUAUUUUUUUUGUCAACAUAUUUGCAGAUUUAGACAAGAAAAUGAAUACGUGAACAGUUUUUAAAUAUUUAUCUCACUCGCUGUGAAGCCAGAAGAAUAAAUCAAGCUAUAUAUAUGGAGUUUUCGUUUCGUUUUCAUGAUAUUGCAUUUUACAUAUAUUAUUUUAAUAGAAAAUCUUAGAAGAGGAUUCUUUUUGUUGUUUUUGAUGCAUUUAUAUACUAACAGACAUCGCUGUAAACGAUAACUAUUGUUAUAAAAAGAUUCAGUAGUUGAAUAUUCACGAAGGUUGUGUGUCGCACUAGUUUUGCUAAUUUUGAAGGACAACUGAGUAUAUGAUUGUUUAAUAAAGUCGAGAAGAUUAAUUGAAAAACUGUCUCGGAUUAGGGUUCGUGCUUGUUGUAAGUAGUUCCGCGUGCUUACCUAUAAUGCAUCUGAAUCUUCAGAUUAUUAAUAUAGUUUUUUAAGAUUCAAUCUUAAUUAUAUAAUAAUGCUAAAGCUAGCUGGUUAUCUUGGCUAAGAUAUAUAUAUAUAUAUAUAUAUAACACUAAGAUUCUUUAGCGGAAUAAGAUCUAAAUCUAAUCGAUAUAUUGUAGAAGGAGAUCGUCGUGAGUUUGAGAUCAGGUCAAACAACGAAACUUGGCAAGAAUCAUACCCAAAAAAAAAUCUUUUGUAAAAUUAAUUAGUUCCAUAAGCUAGGUUUUAUUUUAUCAAAACGGCUCAAAGUGUUUCUGAAAGAACUCUAUGUUACUAUUGGUUGGAUAAACGCCUAUACUUUUGAGAGCUUCUUUUACAGCUUGAUUAUCCAGUUUUUUACUCCAUAUAAGUUUUGUGAUGAAUACAAAAAAGAUCCCAGCAUAUAACGAUUUUCAGCUUCUUAAAGUAUUCUUUUGUUAAUUAAGAUUUUAUUUAUUUAUUUUGCGUUGUACUAUAUUUUUCUUGUAAUUUUUCCUGUUGUAUUGUAGUAAUUGGUUUUCAAAUUAAUACACUGAAAACCGGAAUUGAAGUAUUGAACACAUUCAUUAUUAAGCAUAUAUAUAUGAGAAUACACAAAACACACCAAUAUCCUAGCGACAUACAUUAUCCAGAUCAUCAAAUCACAACAUUAACAACAUUAUCCUAUAUAUAUAUAUAUACUAGAAGCCAACAUCCAACAUGUAACUAUAAUUAUAUUCUACUAAUUAAAGCCCUAACCUAAGAUCUAAUGAACACCCUGCUGUGUCCGAAGUAGACGAAAUAUCAUGUAUUGUUGCAGGAACAUUCAGAUCAACCGCACCACCGACCAUCGUCUCCUCUUCUUUCUCCCAGUGACAUCUCAUGUGACCUCCUAAAGCCUGGCCACUAGAGAACACUCUAAAACAUACAUUACACUUAUGAUUCCCCAUAAACGUAACGAUCUUACCCUGAUGAUCUUGAUCACUAGGAGUAGUAGUAGUAACCGUCAUAGGAUCAUCAGCCACGUUCGUGAUAGCGAAGCAUCCUUUAACGUUCUUGUGACUAGCUCUAUGUCCUCCUAAAGCCUGAUGUGAUCCAAACACUUUCUUGCAACCUCCACACUCGAACCGCUCACCACAGCUUGAUGAUGACGGCAUGGAAUUAGCCAGCAUUAAGAGAUAAGAAGCGACUUCAUGAUCUUCCUCGGUCAUAAGGGAGACCCAAUUUGGUGAUCUCUGGUUCUGGUUUGAAAAUGAAGCCGGGGUGGGGCCACGGUGGUUAGGAGGAGGGUUGAUGCCACGCCAUUGACGCUCAGGGUGACAUCUCAUGUGACCAAAGAGAGCCUUCCAAGACCAAAACGUUUUGCCACAUUCGGUACAUGGACGUGUGAUUUUGGGGGCAUUUGGGUCUGGCUUUCUAGGGUAUUUUGGUUUUGGUUUUGGUGAAGAAGUAGAGGGUAAUGCAACCGUUUUGGUGCGUUUCUUUCUAGGGCUCUGGUCGUAACUUGGAGAUAAAGCAAGUUGGAGAUUUGGAGUACGGUAGAAAGGGAUGAUUGCGUUGGAUGUAGGGUUAAGUGGAGUGUGAAAAUUGGGAUCUGAAUCGGAAUUGUUGGUGGUCAUUGUGAUCACGUAGAGAAAUUAAGUGAUGAAAGAAAAGAGAAAAAAGGAUGAAAGUUGGAGAAAGGGUGGCUUAAGUAGACGAGGAGGAAGAAGAAGAAGAAGAAGGAGACGGUUACGUGGGGAGGAAGUUAUGGAGGGACAGGGAGACAGUUAACUUCAGUUGAGGAACAGAGCGGUUUACUUUGUAAGGAAAGGCUUAUCACCUUUGCAGUUUGAAACCACGUUGUCGAGUGUUUUGUUUGCUGGGCCAACUUUAUGGGCCUUCUAAUCCGAAUUCUCCAUCAGUAUAAUGACGAAUUAAAACUUGGUUUGAUUUGCUGGUUUAGUUUGUUUUUUUUUGUCAUCGGUUUAGUUUGGUUUAUAUUUACAUUCUUAGCAAUAAUUGAACCGGAACUCAGUUCUCUCCGGUUGGGUUUGGCUUUUCUCUAGGUUAGUGAUUACUGUGAUUAGUUAGUCUUAACUACUUUGAAAAACAUUAUUUUCCUAAAUAUUAAUCUAGGAUUACUACAUAGUUUGCAUGGUUGAACACAAAAAAGUUAAACAUAUCUUCUCCUUUCCCAAAAAAAUAGAUAUGGUUCAAGUAACUAAAUAAGAAGCAGCAGAUGUCACACGUCCACAUUCAACACACACUUUUCUUAACCAUUAAUCCCAUUGACUUGAACCGGCAACGUGGACUCAGUGUGUUGACCAUAAAUAAAUGGUCAUCAACUUAUACAAUCCGAAUAUUCAAGACUUGUCAAAAAAAAAAGAAGAAUGUUCUCAUAUACCAAGUAGUAUAAAAGACUAAAAGAGGAAGUGGUUUAUCAAUAAUCCAAAGAGGAAGAAGGUGAGAGGAAACCGCUAGGGUCAAGGAAAUGUAGCUGUGAGCACGCAAAGCAGUCUAAAGAACUUUCUUCCCACAAUCGGCGCCGUAAGAUAAACAAAACACACUCUCAUCCAACGAAUGUAAUUGUCCGACCAGUCUCUCACCAAACAUAAACCCAAAAAUCUAUUUUUUAUUCGUGAGAUUCGAAUAAAAUUUGUUAUACUAUAUUGUAUUAAACCGAGAGCAGCUUUCCUUUGGUGGAAAUAACAUUAAAUAUUGUAGCUUUCCUCUUCUUGUUCCACUUUCUUUUGUCUCUCAGAUUCAUUCUCAGUCAGUUAGACUUCUGUGUCACCCUUCUCUGAUUACUUACUGGUAAGUUAUAACUAGAUCCUCUUUUUGCUUUAUUUCAUUCCUCUGUUUCUGAUUCCUUUGUAAGUAAACUCAGAUUUGACUUUUUAGUAGCUCCUUUUUGACUCUCUGUUCUUUCUAAUGGUUGAUCUGAUCUGGGGGGGGGUUUGUGUCUUUCUUCCUUGUGAGUGUUAAAGUUCGUUACUUUACUCUCUAUAAGCUUCUUUGAUUUGGUCUGAUGAGUUUUUAUCUGAACUGUUAGUUGGAUAAAGUAACAUAAAGUGAAAGUUGAUGUACUUUUAAAUGCUUAAUCUGAUGUUGGUUAUGUGAUUUUCUUAUCGCUUAAAGUUUGUUACUUUCUUGUUUUUAGCUUCUUGGGUUUGGUCUGUUACUAGAGGGUUUUGACUUGUUUAUAAUAUCUAUUUGAACAGUUAAGUUGGAUGAAGAAGAGAGAUUGAAAGUUAGUAUCUUUUCCACUGUUUCAUGGGCAAUUCAUGCCGUGGAUCUUUCAAGGACAAACUCUUCCAGACCAAUAACAGUACUAAGCUUGAAGACAACUCCAAAACCUCUACAAACGUCACUUCAAACCGCUCUAGUUCCACCAACACUGAAGAGUUCUCCUCUCCCAAGAAAGACAGCAAAAACUCACCUCUUGUUAUCCCUUCAAAAGAACCAAUCAUGAGACGCAACAUGGACAACCAAGCUUACUACGUCCUCGGUCACAAGACCCCAAACAUUCGUGAUCUCUACACUCUCAGCCGCAAGCUAGGACAAGGCCAGUUCGGCACAACCUACCUCUGCACAGAACUCGCCACUGGCGUCGACUACGCUUGCAAGUCAAUCUCCAAGAGGAAACUCAUCUCCAAAGAAGACGUUGAAGACGUUAGACGAGAGAUUCAGAUCAUGCACCACUUAGCUGGUCACGGCAACAUCGUGACGAUCAAAGGAGCGUAUGAGGACUCUUUGUACGUCCACAUUGUGAUGGAGCUUUGCGCUGGAGGGGAGUUGUUUGAUAGGAUUAUUCAGAGAGGGCAUUACAGCGAGAGGAAAGCUGCUGAGCUGACUAAGAUCAUUGUGGGAGUUGUGGAAGCGUGUCAUUCUCUUGGUGUGAUGCAUAGAGACUUGAAGCCUGAGAAUUUCUUGUUGGUUAAUAAGGAUGAUGAUUUCUCUCUCAAGGCUAUUGACUUUGGUCUUUCUGUUUUUUUCAAACCAGGUAAAAACUGUCUGAAAAGCUUUAGUUAAUGUUUUCCUUAAUAGUGUUCUAAAAAUCGGUCUAGGCGGCUACUAAGUGGUAAAUAGAGUCUAGACGUUCAAAAGAUCAGUUUAGAAGUCCAUCUAAUCAAUAAUCUCCUAUAAAGCGCCUAAUUACCGCCUAAGAAUUUCUUGAAUGAUUUUUAGAAAAAAUCUGUCUAGGAGAAGCCCGUCUAAUUAGUAAUCUCCUAUAAAACUGCCUAAUUACCGCCUAUGGAUUUCUUGAAUGAUUUUUUUUUAAGAAAAAAAAUCUGUCUAGGCUAUCAAAAGAUUGGUUUAGACGCCCGCCUAAUCAAUAAUCUCCUAUAAAAUGCCUAAUUACCACCUACGGAUUUUCUUGAAUAUUGAUUUGGUUGGUUUUAAUAUUCCUGUGAGUUUCAGGUCAAAUAUUCACUGAUGUUGUUGGGAGUCCAUAUUAUGUUGCUCCUGAGGUUUUGCUCAAACGUUAUGGACCUGAGGCUGAUGUAUGGACCGCUGGUGUUAUACUGUAUAUAUUGCUAAGCGGAGUCCCACCGUUUUGGGCAGGUAAGUGUGAUUGGUGUUUGGUCAUAUAAGCUCUUUAGAAAGUCUGAGUCACCUGAGAUGUGUUUUGUUUUGUCUUAUUUUUGUUGGGGAAUCAGAAACACAGCAAGGGAUAUUUGAUGCUGUGUUGAAGGGAUACAUUGACUUUGAUUCAGACCCUUGGCCUGUGAUAUCAGACAGUGCUAAAGACUUGAUCCGCAGAAUGUUAUCCUCUAAGCCUGCAGAGCGCUUGACAGCUCAUGAAGUCUUGCGUAUGUCUCCACAUUAAAGUAAUGGUUACAUUUUAGCAACAAGCACUAGGCUUACAUCUACUUGUUUGCAGGUCAUCCUUGGAUCUGUGAGAACGGUGUUGCACCAGAUAGACCACUUGAUCCGGCUGUUCUGUCUCGGCUCAAGCAGUUUUCUGCAAUGAAUAAACUAAAGAAGAUGGCUUUGAAGGUGAUAGCUGAGAGUCUCUCUGAGGAAGAGAUUGCUGGUUUAAGAGAAAUGUUCCAAGCAAUGGAUACUGAUAACAGUGGUGCAAUCACCUUUGAUGAACUCAAAGCUGGUCUGAGGAAAUAUGGAUCUACUUUGAAAGACACAGAGAUCCAUGAUCUUAUGGAAGCGGUGCAAAAAACUUAAAAUCUUAUUUGAAUGUAGUGUUGUUUGUCUGUUCUAACAUGGAGCUUCUUGUGUUUGACAGGCUGAUGUGGACAACAGUGGGACGAUUGAUUACAGCGAGUUCAUUGCAGCGACGAUCCAUCUCAACAAGCUGGAGAGGGAAGAGCAUCUUGUGGCUGCGUUUCAGUACUUUGACAAAGACGGAAGUGGUUACAUAACGAUAGACGAGCUGCAGCAAGCGUGUGUUGAGCAUAGUAUGACUGAUGUUUUCCUUGAAGACAUCAUCAAAGAAGUUGAUAAAAACAAUGUAAGCUUAUUAUAACGACUUUGUUCUUCAAGAUUCUUCUCUAAAGACUUGUGUCUAGGCCUAGAUGAUAAAAAGUUUUUUGUAUGUUACAGGAUGGACAAAUUGAUUAUGGUGAGUUUGUGGAGAUGAUGCAAAAGGGAAACGCUGGUGUUGGAAGAAGGACGAUGAGAAACAGUCUGAACAUUAGCAUGAGAGACGCUUAGAGGUCGUUAAUUUUCCCCUGGUGGUUUGUGACUUCAAAAAUGUUUAUGUUCAUGGGAUCAACAAUCUCUAGUGAGCUUUGUUUAUCUUCUUUCUUUGUAAAACGAAAAAUUGUCAUCAAUGUUGUGUGUUUUCUAAGGAUUUUUUACUUUGAAAAUCUCUUUCUACUUUCUAGAGGAUCAUGACCUUUCGUCCACAACUUGAAUUAAAUAAAAUCAAUACAAUACUAAAAGGGAAUAUAAGCUAUGGAGAGGGUGUCCACGUCCUCACCAAAAAUCGACCCAUAUGAGGUCAGAUUUUCGCCACGUCAGCAAAAUACUCUCUCCAAACCGUGACACCUGUCCGGUCUAUUACUAAAUUCUGCGUUUUGUUAAAUCAAACUCGGUUUCUGAUAGGUCUUUUUUUUAAUCAAGCUUUUCGUCUUUCUUCGUUGAAGUCUCACGGACUCCUCCAUCUCGAGUGCUGCUUCUCACGCCGUCUAGGACCUGUCUCGAUGCCGCUGCGUCUCUGCUCCCCUCUGGGCCUCCAACGGCUCCGUGCUGCAUCUACUCCUUUGUGAGGGGCUAUGUAUCUUCUCCUUUGACUCAUUAUACUAUGCGACUCCAUAUUUAUUUUCCUUCUCUAUCUGUCGCCGGCAAUGGUGGUUGAGCCUCUUGGAUCUGCUCUGCUCUGAGGUAUUUGCAGAUUUUCCGUCUCUUCGUUUCAUGAUUGAGAUUUUGAUUUUGAUUAUAAUUUUAAUUUACUUCUCUCUUGCCUUUUCGUGUUUGUUCAGAUUGAAUCUGAUUAUAUUUGAUUAUCAAUCUGUUAUAUUCGUGUGUGUUUGGGAAUCUGUUAGGUUAUGAUUUGAUUUAUCUGAUAUUCUUAUUUGAGAGUUUGAAGAUAGGCAUGUUGUUCGAUUGUUGAUAAAUGACAUAACAGUAAAUCAGGUUUCAUAUUCAAGUUGAACCUAAGUUGAUAGGCAUGUAGCCAUCACAAACAUCAUGAAGAAACCAGAUAUGCAAUAGGAUUUGAAAAUGAGAGCAGGAAUAGGCUAACAGUGGACUUAACUUGCUACUUACACUCCUCAAGGAAAAAAAAACGUGUCAUUGCAAGUUGCAACCAUCAAAAUUGAUAAGUUGCAUAACUUCAUCACUGUGAAUAGAUGUUGAGCAUUUAGUGUUCUGUUUUCUCUUGACAGUGACGUGUCUGUGACGUUGAGUCUGUUUGACUGGCAAGCUAUAUCUUUUCACAGCAAGCUAGAAAGUCUUCGGUGAUCCUAAGGUUGUUAACAAGUAUCAACUCCAAGAUUGUAGGAGGUAUUUUUGUUUAAAUGGGAUGACUAUAAUAGUUCUUGGCCCUAACGAAAUCAAUAUUUUGCAAGGCAUCUGUUCUUGAACGCCACAUCAGGGACCCAUAUAACUUUCGACAAAGAGAUUAAUUUGAUCUCAGUUUGUUAGUUUACUUAUUCAUCACAUAAUUAGUGAAUUCCUGCACAACACUGUAUGUUGUUUUCCGUUGACAUUGGCAUUACUCCAGCAUCUUCAUUACUGAGGGGCUACACUAAGCUUGAGCCUCUAACCAUAGCUGAAAUGAGUUCAUCAUCACUGCCCAGCCACAGGUUAUAUAGCAAGCUUUAUUUGUUAUAAUUCUUCCAUGACUGUACUCUGUACGUGAUCCCAAACUUUGUAAAUGCAGGAUAUCGCCUUCAUAUGCACCGGUAGGGGCACUGGGAUCAAGAUGGACAAAGGCUGGUGUUACGUCUCUUUCUCCAUGUGUACAAAGAAGCUUUAGCGGACUGUAUCAUCCUUCACUUGUGUCUUGUGUGGCCUGCAACAACACUAAUGUUGUUGGUGUGCUAAGGUAUAUUGGAUCCUUUACCUUUUAUUAGAUUUGGAAUUAAGAAACACACACAGAGGCAACAAUAUAUUUUAUAAACACUUAAUUGUCUGCAACGUAUUGUGUGUAGAUGAGUAUUGCUGAUGAGACUGCUGAGGGCCUGUUUGUUGGCAUCGAUGGGGUAAUACUAAAUUGCAUCUCAUACGUGCAUAUGAACCUGGUCAUCUACUGGUACGUAGCUAUCGCAUUAUGUAGCAUCAUCCUACAGUUUCCUCUGGAUCUUUCGUCAGCUCUCACAUUUAAAACAUGUAACUAAUAGGCUGGAGAGGGAGUUAACUCAGAAGAAGAAGAGGCUCGGUGGAGAGCCGAGCGUGAAGCUGCAGAGAGAGAAGUUGCUAGAGUGAGAAUGAGACAAGAGUAAGCACUUGCUCUUGGACUGUUUAUUUCCCAUGAUAAUGUAGAUUUUUGUAAGGUUCCUGAAUGGAUAAAGAAAAGGGAGAAGGUUUGAAAGCAAUACCAAGAUACAAACAUUGUAUGACUACGUUGAUUCACUUGGAUGCUAGAAACAGAAGAGUAUAGCUUAAUCACAAACUUUCCAAGAAGUAUGGAAGAGACAAAGAGUCAAUGUCACUCAAAGAUGCAAGUUUGCAUCCUCAGGCAAGUCUUUUCAGUGAGAUAAACUAAGUUUCAGAUUCUUCUUUUUCUUUCUCCUUAAGUCACUCUUUUUCCAGUUUUUUUCAUCUCUUUUAAAAUAAUUAGUAGUGUUGCUUCAGUGAUCCGAUGAACAAGAUAACAUAUAUACAUAUAUUCAGAAGUUGUGUCACAUAUUUGAAAUAUUUAGUUCUUAAAAUGAUGAGCUUUCGCAUUGUAUUUUUUUUUUGGUGUUAUAUUGAAGACAUGAAGAUCAGUCUUCGUUUCUAGCUGCAACAAAUAAUUUUUUACCUGGAAAAGUUUUGCAGAUAAAAAAUGUUGUAUAUUGUGAAUUGGAAGAGAAGAUGUAUGAAAAAGUACAAUCGACUAACAUUUUUUAAAAAGAUUAAGAAUAAAAAUGUUGAUGACAAAAUAAAAUAAUUAUAUAUUGGUGUUAAGCUAACUAAAUGAUUUCUAACAAUGAUAAUAUAUUAAAUAGUAAUAAUUAUAAGAGAAAAUAGUGAGAAUAAUACGAAAUGAUUUCUUGGAUAAUUCAUCAUAACUUAAUUACAUCAUUAAUCAUAAUAAAAUAAGUACUAUUAUAAGUUCGAACAUUUUUUUUGAUGCCAUCUCAACAAACGAGAAAAGAAAACAUGAUACAUCAGUGUAAAAUUUAAAAAUUUAUAAUAAAAUUCUCAUUUUUAACAUUGAAAUUUUGAAUAUAUUAACAAUAAAUCAAAUUCCCUAUAAAUAAUAUUUAUAGCUAACAAUACAUCAUAUAGUUAUGGUUGUUUGUUAUUUUUUUGGUUUAGCCUAAACUUUGGUAGUAAAACAAAUUGUGGAAUUCAUUAUUUUUAAUUUUUUGUUGAUGUGAGUUUGAAAAAAACACAAAAAGAAAAACAGGAAUAUAUUUCUCAAAUAUAAUAAUACAUAAAUAUAUAACCUAACAUAUAUUUGUAAAUAUUAAAAAAUAACAAUUGAUAUCAAAUUUUUAUGCUACUUGACUAUUUUCCAAAAAAAAAAAGAUAAAAAAUGGCUUUUCCUUUUCGAUUUUUUAAAUUAUAUAAUUUGAGAAGAAAUGUAUUUAAAAUCCAAUAAAUUCAAGAUAAGCAAAUAUUGUGAACAAAGUAAAAUAUUUAUAUUUUAGUGAAUUGUUUAAAUAUAGUAUAACAAAUGCAUAAUUUCAAAAACAAAAGAAAUAGUAAAAUUUGUAGUAAUAAAUAUUGAAAAUUAUAAUAAAAUAAACUGAAAUUUUCAUUAAAAUUUAAAAUGUGUUUGUAUUGUUUCAUUCAUUUGCUUACCCACCCAAUAAAACACUACUAUUAACGUGUUGGGUGAAGCAGAGCUAUUGGAGGAAGCCGAAGGAGCUCUCUUUUUUUUUCUACUUGCUGGAAAAAGGGUAACAUUGAGAUGGCUGAAAGAGUAGUAAAGUGUUUGCUGAAGCUGGAUCCAGAUGUGCACAUAUCUAAUGCUUUCUCUUUAUGUGUUUUUCGAAGAGACAGUUAAUCAGAGGGUUUUCAUGAAGGAAACACGAGUGAAGAAGGAAGUACGUGCAGUUCGAUGGAGGUAGAUUACAAAGUUCACGAGUUUGUUAUUCUUUUUGCCGGAAAAGACACAAUAGAUUCUCAGAACAUCAACAACAAAUUCAGUGUCAAGUAUUAUCUGAAUCUUUUCCUGGUGGACAAAGAGGAUCGUUGUUACAUCAAGCAGCAAGAAAUGACGUUGUACAAGCUCAAGGAGGAGACAUUUUGAUGUUUACGGAAAGAAAAGAACAAAUAAGAAUUUUUCAGAACUUUGUAAAGCGUUUUUCUUAAGAUUUAUUUUUCCUGUAUGAAAUUGGUUGGAGACUAGGAGUCAUGAAAGUUAAACAGUGUAAGUUUGUUCAAUAAUUAGAAUUAUAGAAUUUUGCUUAAGUUAUCAACAAUUACUUUUGUUUUGUAUGUUUUUUACUAUUGCAAGUACAAGCUACAUAUGAUGAUUAAUUUCGGUUAUUUUAUCCAACUUAAUACUUAUGGUUCACUCUCUACGUACAAAAACGCUGACUUUUUAUUCCAAGGUAAAAUAGAUAAUAAUAUGAUACUUUGAUAUGAUGAACCAUAGAGAUUAUAUGAGUAAUAUUGAGGUUUUUACAUAGCAACGCUGUGAACCCCCUCUUAUCAGCUCCAAGACAAAAAUAUUAUAACCAUAAUUUCCAUUAGUGAGCGAAGGCAAUCAUUGAAUAUCAACUAAAAUUAAUAAAUUGUCAAUCUUUUUUAAGAAAUUCAACUACAUUAUUUGGAUUUUCUUAGGAAAACAUAUAGAUAGCUAUUAGAGAAUAUUAUUAUAUUUUUAAUAUGUUGUUUUGCUGCAUGAAAACAAAAGUAUUUGACAUAAAUUCAGAAUUUUUUUAAAUGUACAUCACUUUUAGAUUUCAAUUGUUCGUCAUUUCACCACUGCCUUAAGAACGAAUUCAUAUACAUUUUCUUAUCACCAAAUAAUAAAUUUUAAAAUACACAUUGGUUAAUUUUAACGUUCAAAUAAUAGACAGUCAAUAUUUAAAAUGUUAAAAUAUACAUUGGUAAUUUUAACGUAAAAAAAAUGUUUGAAUUAUAUGUUAAUAUAACCAUAUAUUUAUAAAAUUCAAAUAAAUGAGAUAAAAGAAUAAUUGAAUUUCAACUAAAGUUUAAUUUAUUUUCUUAUUCAGUUUGUUUACCAAGUUAUAUGUAUUUUGACAAUGAAAGAAUUUUUAAAAAAUUUAGUCACCAAAACCAAUACAAAAUAUCAAAAUUUUCUAAUAAUUUAUAUAGCAUUUUCAGUCUAUGUGUAAAAUAUGUAGUCAAAUACAAAUUUUAUUAUAAACUAAUUAAAUUAAAAUAAAUAAAAAAAUCCGGGCGUAGCCCGGAAAAAUCUCUAGUAUAUAUAAUAAGGUUUGUAAAUACCAAUGGCGUUUGACGAGCUAGCAAGUCUCAAUCAUGUAAUCAAAGUUGCUUUUUCUAAGUAUGUGUCCUUUUAAAAAUCUCAAAUAAAACCCAAAACUCAAGGCUGUUCACAACAAAUCAUACAUUGGCAACGAUCUGUAAUUUGGAACAUUAUUUACCAAAACCAUUUUAUAUGUUGUACGAACAUAUUCACAUGCUUUGUAACGCCGCAACCUUUAACAUAAUUUAUUUGAUCAAUUUAAUAUUUGGUAAUCAGCACAUUCUUACCUAAACCAAAGUUUAAACCGUUCAUUGUUACUCGAAGUCAAAUUUUAGCAAACAUCGUAUAACCAUAAUCGAUAAAUAGUUUAAAACAUAAAACAAUAAAUAGCAAUACGCCACCGACGAUAUUGCAUCCACCGACAAAUGUUAUGUCGGCUACAGGCCACACACACAUGACAAAUCUCAGUUAUACCAUGCAAUCGAAGUGUCAUUAAUACUUGUGUCGGUCGUAGAUCGUCAGGGUUUGAUAUGUUGUUAGAGUUUUGCUUGUAAAUUAUUAAAACUAUUUUCAUUAAUGGUGGUAAAAAAAUUGGCGCCGUAUAAAUAACUGAAACAGAAUAACAUGUUCCUACAUAAUUUCAUGGUUACAAAAUACAACUGCACAAGAUGUAAAGAAAUCAAAAUAAAUCAUUAUUAACUAUAGCAACAAAAUACAAACAUCGAACUUUCCAAAAACACAUCCCCUUAUGGUUGACUAUAAUCCAAUUGAUUGAUACGAAGAUCAUAUUUUAUAAGAGCCAAAUUACAAAAGCUUAACCGUUUAUUGACACUAUAGAGAGAGGAAUGAUAUCAGAAGAAGAGAGUCCAUGAGAGAUUGCGGAUCUGAGAUGGGGGUGACGUGCAUUAUACUACUUCCUCAGUUAUGUGAGCAGCCGAUUGAUCUAGCUUCUUGGAAAGGAUCCAUGAACGACUCCAUUCCCACCAGCUUCUUGCUUGUUCUCCUAUAGCAGAAACAGAUUGGAAUCCAGCUGAUGCUAUCUCCGUUGGUUUGUUUGAGAGAUUGAGUGAGAGUGAAGAAAGGCUACGUCGGAUGAUACCUGCAGGCUUAUCAUCAUCGGUGGUGGUGGAGGAAGUAGGACGCUGAGAAACGGGGAGAGAAACUUGUUUGCGAAUCUGGAGAGUUUCCAUCAUCGAGCUCAUUGCUUUUUUUUUUAGAGAGAGAGAGAGAGAUGAAGAAGAAGAAAUGAAAUGUUUUGGAGUAAUAGAGAGAAAGUAGUGAUCAUAGCUCUAACACAGGCUGUGUUUUUAUUACACUUUUCUCUCUCUCUGUCUGUGUGGGGUCCAUUAACUUUUAUGCCCAGCCAAUUACACCUAUAAUGUUUGUUUGAAGAGACCCAUUGGACUAGGGCCCAAUAAUUUUAAGGCCCAAUAAUAAAGUAUUACGCGCUUUUUUGUAUAUUUCUCUUAUUAUUAUUACAUUUAAUUUAGCUUCGAGUGUGGUCGGAUCAGAGAGAUCUGAGAGAGCUUCUCACGAUGGAGUACCGUAAAAUCAAAGACGAGGAUGAUGAUCAUGACGUGGCUUCUGAUCUCGAGAGUUUAAAGGGAAAACCUCACACCGGUUAGUUUUUUUCUUUCUCCUUCGUAUCUCAAAAUCUCUGCUUCUUUGCUCAUUGGUUGCUUCAAUUUGGUUAGUUGCUUCGAGUAACAUUGCUCUGGUUGGUGCUGGAUCGAACGAAAGAACCAACUGGAAACGAAAGUAAGUUCCUUUAUUCGAUUUUCUUGUCGGAAAGAUACUAUCUUUUUGGGGUUGUAUUAAGUUAAAUUGUGUUUGAGGGGGGGCAGGGGUGUAGUAACAUGUGCACUGACCAUCCUCACGAGCUCCCAAGCCAUACUCAUAGUUUGGUCUAAACGAGCUGGCAAGUAUGAGUACAGUGUUACCACCGCCAACUUCUUGGUUAGUUAAUUUAAUUAAGCAAUGUGUUGUAUGGUACAAGCGAGCUACUUUAGUGAAUUGUUUAAUCUUUGGACGUCAGGUUGAGACUCUAAAGUGUGCGUUGUCUCUUCUUGCGUUGACAAGAAUAUGGAAGAACGAAGGUGUUACUGACGAUAAUAGGUUAAGCACAACGUAUGACGAAGUUAAAGUCUUUCCCAUNNNNNNNNNNNNNNNNNNNNNNNNNNNNNNNNNNNNNNNNNNNNNNNNNNNNNNNNNNNNNNNNNNNUUCCUGCUGCUUUGUAUCUUUUCAAGAAUCUCUUACAGGUUUUGCUUUUUUCUUGGGUUUUUUUUGGCUUUGGUCAAUGUUUGUGGCAUCUUCUUUCCGUGUUAAUCAGUUUUCUGACUACUUGUGGUGUGACUUUUUAUGUGGAAGUACUAUAUUUUUGCAUACGUUGACGCGCCAGGCUAUCAGAUAUUGAAGAACCUGAACAUCAUAAGUACUGGUGUCUUGUACAGGAUUAUACUCAAGAAAAAGUAUGUUGUUUAUUCCUCCAAAUGGAUUUCAUAGCUUGUUCUGUUUAUUCACUUUGCUUUACUUUCUUCUCUAAUAAGGUUGAGCGAGAUUCAGUGGGCGGGCUUCAUCCUAUUGUGUUGUGGAUGCACCACUGCUCAGUUGAAUUCAAAGUAAAUUUGGCUCUCUCGACAUUUUCCCCCUUUGAUUUUAUUUACUGCUAUCAGCGUGUGGUUAGUCUCUACUGAUUUUUUUUUUCACUACAUAGUCUCAUAUUUGAAUGUUAACUUUUGCAGUUCUGAUCGUGUACUUCAGACAUCUCUUCCCGGCUGGAUUAUGGCAAUUGUAAGUUGUUACCCACCACCUUAACUUGCUACUAAGAGAGUAGUGAAGCUACUACUUCCACGUCCACGCUAAUUCAUAUGAUUAUUUGCCGUUGUUUCUAGGUUAUGGCUCUUUUAAGUGGUUUCGCUGGAGUGUACACAGAGGUGAGCUUAUUAUGACUUUUAUACCCAAAGCUAGCUCUGAUUAUACUUCCUUUUAUUUGUGUAGCAUUGAUUUAAUUUGUUGUUUAAAACAGUAGAAUAUGACCAGUCCAUUUUUAUGUCUUGGAUUUUUAAAAAGUUUUGCUUUCCAUUUUUUUGGCAGGCUAUAAUAAAAAAGAGGCCAUCAAGGAAUAUAAAUGUACAGAACUUCUGGCUAUACGUCUUUGGGAUGGCUUUCAAUGCUGUUGCUAUUGUCAUCCAAGAUUUCGAUGCCGUGGCUAAUAAGUAAAUUCCUAAACUCAUCUCCUUAUUUUUGUCCACAGUCAGUAACCAUUUUCCUCACAAAAAUGCUACUUAUUUAUAGCUGGCUGAACUAUUAUGCUGUUAUCUCGCAUCUGCUCUGGUAUUAAAGGGGUUGGUUUUUUUUUAAUUUUCAGAGGAUUCUUCCAUGGUUACUCAUUUAUCACAGUACUCAUGAUUCUCAACCAUGCUCUCAGGUAAAAAAAUCUGCUUUUGAGGCCAGAUUCUUCUCUUUAACUCUAAUCUCAGUUUACAUGUAGUUUAACACAUUAAAAACAUUAUUCUCCUGUUUGUUUUGCAGUGGUAUUGCUGUGUCAAUGGUGAUGAAAUAUGCAGACAAUAUUGUAAAGGUAAUAAUAAACUUGCACGCCGGCAUAAGUAGUAGUCACUUUUGAAACACGGGGUUUAACCUCUAGCGAUAUGUAUGUAGGUUUAUUCGACGUCAGUGGCAAUGCUUCUCACCGCGGUUGUCUCUGUAUUCCUAUUCAAUUUUCAUCUUUCACUAGCUUUCUUCCUUGGUUCAACGUAAGUUAUAACCGCAUCUUGCCUCUGCCAAUACAAAAUCCAUUCUCAACCUUUUCACAGAAGAGCUGAUGUUUACUGUGUUUGCACUUUGGCAGGGUCGUCUCUGUUUCAGUAUAUUUGCAUUCAGCUGGGAAGCUACGAUGAUAGGCAAAGAAGGAUCUCUAAUACUUGAGCUGCCAAAAGAAAAGUCUUGCCAUUAUUCUAGCACAGAGAGAUGAAGCUUUUUUUUGACAAUUGUGAUAUUGUAUUUCGUGUAGCCUAUAGGGUAAAUUCACAUUCAAUAUUUGAAAAAGAGCAUAAUGUAGCACUCUUGUGCAAAUCAGGCAUUACCUAAAAGACACUGGUGGAGAUUUAAAAAAAAAUUAUUAAAAAAGUAUUAUUGUUAUUAAACAUUGUAUGAGGAGUAAAUGCUUUCCAAGGUAUCACAAAUUUAAACUUUGCUUCGACACAUGCCUCUAUUAUUGUACUAUAGACCUAUUCAAUAGUGCUGAUUUACUAAGCACGGUAGAGUUUUAUUUAUCUAUUUCACUUCGUUAUGUGGCAUUGUACAACGUUGUACUAUGUUGAGAUUUGGGUGUCUUUGGCUAUUUAACGAUCGCAAUGACAUGAUAUGAUGUUAUUUACUGAGUUUAAGUCUACAACAAGUUAUUUUUUUAAGUCACGAUCUCAAAUCUACAAUAAUUCUUUUUUAAAAUGAAAACUUUCUAAAAAUAGUAGGUUAUUAUUAAAAAAAUGCAACCUAUUAAUGAAAAAUUCUGAAGGAAUACUCGUCUAUCAACAAAAAUUCUUGUUAUCCUUAUUCCUAAGUCACAAUCUCAAAUCUACAAUAGUUCUCUGUAGAAAUAAAAACGUCCCAAAAAUAGCAUCUUUCAUAAAAAUUAUUGAAAAAAUGCAACUUAUUGAUGAAAAAUUCUGAAAGAAUACUCAUCUAUCAACAAAAUUUGUUGUUAUCCUUAUUCAUAAGUCACAAUCCCAAACCUACCAAAGUUCUCUAUAAAAUAAAAAGUUUCUAAAAAUAGGAGGUUUUUCAUAAAUUAUUUAAAAAAUGCAACCUAUCGAAGAAAAAUUAUGAAAAAAUACUCAUCAAUUAACAAAAUAUCUUAUUAUACUAAUUUCUAAGUCACAAUCCAAAAUCUACAAUAGUUCUCUAUAAAAAUUAAAACUAUCCAAAAAUAUCAGGUUCUUACAAAAGUAUUUUAAAAAUGCAACCUAUUGAUGAAAAAAUCUGAAAGAAUACUCAUCUAUAAACAAAAAUUCUUGUUAUCCUUAUUUGUAAGUCACAAUCUCAAAUCAACAAUAGUUCUCUAUAAAAAAAACUUUUCAAAAAUAGCAGGUUCUUUAAAAAUUAUUUAAAAAAAUCAACUUAUUGAUGAAAUUUUUUGAAAAAGUACUCAUCUAUCAACAAAAAUUCUAGUUAUCCUAAUAUCUAAGUCAAAAUCCAAAAUAUACAAUAGUUCUCUAUAGAAAUAAAAACUUCCCAAAAAUAGCAGCUUUCGUAAAAAUUAUUAAAAAAAUGCAACCUAUUGAUGAAAAAUUCUGAAAGAAUACACAGCUAUCAACAAAAGUUCUUGUUAUCCUUAUUCCUAAGUCACAAGCCCAAAUCUACAAUAGUUCUCUAUAAAAUGAAAACUUUCCAAAAAUAAGAGGUUUUUCAAAAAUUAUUUAACAAAUGCAAACUAUCGAUAAAAAAUUAUGAAAGAAUAUUCAUCUAUUAACAAAAAUUCUUAUUAUACUAAUUUCUAAGUCACAAUCCAAAAUCUACUAUAAUUCUCAAUAAAAUUAAAUCUAUCCAAAAAUUGCAGGUUUUUAAAAAAAUAUUUUAAAAAAUGCAGCCUAUUGAUGAAAAAUUCGGAAAGUGUACUCAUCUAUCAACAAAAAUUCUAGUUUUCCUAAUUUCUAAGUCAAAAUCUAAAAUAUACAAUAGUUAUCUAUAGAAAUAAAAAAUUCUCAAAAAUAGCAGAUUUCGUAAAAAUAUUUUAAAAAUGCAACCUAUUGAUGAAAAAUUCUGAAAGAAUACUCAUCUAUAAAAAAAAAUUCUUGUUAUCCUUAUUUCUAAGUCACAAUCUCAAAUCUACAAUAGUUCUCUAUAACAAAAACAUUCCAAAACUAGCAGAAUCUAUAAAAAUUAUUUUUAAAAUGCAACUUAUUGAUGAAAAAUUCUAAAAGAGUACUCAUCAAUCAACAAAAAUUCUAGUUAUCAUAAUUUUUAAGUCACAAUCCAAAAUAUACAAUAGUUCUCUAUAGAAAUAAAAACAUCCCAAAAAUAUCAGCUUUAUAAAACAAAUAUUAAAAAAAUGCAACCUAUUGAUGAAAAAUUCUAAAAGAAUACUCAUCAAUCAACAAAAAUUCUAGUUAUCAUAAUUUCUAAGUCACAAUCCAAAAUAUACAACAGUUCUCUAUAGAAAUAAAAACAUCCCAAAAAUAGCAGUUUUCGAAAAAAUUAUUAAAAAAAUGCAACCUAUUGAUGAAAAAUUCUGAAAUAAUACUCAUCUAUUAACAAAAAUUCUUAUUAUACUAAUUUCUAAGUCACAACCCAAAAUCUACAAUAAUUCUCAAUAAAACGAAAUCUAUCCAAAAAUUGCAGGUUAUUUAAAAAAUAUUUUAAAAAUGCAAUCUAUUGAUGAAAAAUUCUGAAAGUGUACUCAUCUACAAAAAUUCUAGUUUUCCUACUUUCCAAGUCAAAAUCUAAAAUAUACAAUAGUUCUCUCUAGAAAUAAAAACUUCUCAAAUAUAGCUGUUUUCGUAAAAAUUAUUGAAAAAAUGCAACCUAUUGAUGAAAAAAUCUGAAAGAAUACUCGUCAAUCAUAAAAAAAAUCUUGUUAUCCAUAUUCCUAAAUCAUAAUCCCAAAUCUACAAUAGCUUUCUACAGAAAUAAAAAUUUCUCAAAAAUAGCAGCUUUCUUAAAAAUUAUUGAAAAUGUAACAUAUUGAUGAAAAAAUCUGAAAGAAUACUCAUCUAUCAACAAAAAUUCUUGUUAUCCUUAUUACUAAGUCAUAAUCCCAAAUCUACAAUAGUUUUCUAUAAAAUGAUAACAUUCCAAAAAUAUGAGGUUUUUCAAAAAUUAUUUAAAAAAUGCAACAUAUCGAUGAAAAAUUGUGAAAGAAUACUCAUCUAUUAACAAAAAUUCUUCUUAUCCUAAUUUCUAUGUCACAAUCCAAAAUCUACAAUAGUUCUCUAUAAAUAUGAAAACUAUCCAAAAAUAGCAGGUUUUUUUCAAAAUUAUUUAAAAAAUACAUCAUAUUGAUAAAAAAUUCUGAAAGAGUACUCAUCUAUCAAAAAAAUUCUAGUUAUCCUAAUUCCUAAGUCACAAUCCAAAAUAUACAAUAGUUCUCUAUAGAAAUAAAAACUUUCCAAAAAUAGCAUCUUUCGUAAAAAUUAUUGAAAAAUGCAACUAUUGAUGAAAUUUUUUGAAAGAAUACUCAUCUUUCAACAAAAACUCUUGUUAUCUAUUCCUAAGUCACAAUCUCAAAUCUACAAUAGUUCUCUAGAAAAAAAUGUUUUUCCAAAAAUAAGAGGUUUUCAAUAAUUAUUUAAAAAAUGCAAGCUAUCGAUGAAAAAAUAUGAAAGAAUACUCAUCUAUUAACAAAAAUUCUUGUUAUACUAAUUUUUAAGUCACAAUUCUAAAUCUACAAUAGUUUUCUAUAAAAAUAAAACUAUCCAAAAAUAUCAGGUUCUUAAAAUAUUAUUUUAAAAAUGCAACCUAUCGAUAAAAGUUUUUGAAAGAAUACUCAUCUAUUAAAAAAAAUAUUUUUUAUACUAAUUUGUAAGUAACAAUCCUAAAUCUUCAAUAGCUCUCUAUAAAAAUGAAAUAUAUCUGAAAAUAACAGGUUUUUAAAAAAUUAUUUUGAAAAUGCAACCUAUUGAUGAAAAUUAAUGAAAAAAUAUUCAUCUAUUAAUAAAAAUUCUUGUUAUACUAAAUUCUAAGACAUAAACCAAAAUCUAUAAUAAUUCUCUAUAAAAAUGAAAACUAUAAAAAAACUGUAGGUUUUUAAAGAAAUAUUUUAAAAUUCAACCUAUAGGUGAAAAAUUCUAUCAACAAAAUUUUUUGUAAUCCUUAUUCCUAAGCCACAAUCUCAAAUCUACAAUAGUUUUCUAUAGAAAUAAAAUUUCCCAAAAAUAACAGCCUUCGUAAAAAUUAUUGAAAAAAUGCAACCUAUAGAUGAAAAAUUCUGAAAGAAUACUCAUCUAUCAACAGAAAUUCUUGUUAUCCUUAUUCCUAAGCCACAAUCCGAAAUCUACAAUAGUUCUAUAAAAAAUGGAAAGUUUCCAAAAAUAGGAGGUUUUUCAAAAAUUAUUUUAAAAAUGCAACAUAUCGAUGAAAAAAUAUGAAAGAAUACUCAUCUAUUAACAAAUAUUCUUGUUAUACUAAUUUCUUUAUCACAAUCCAAAAUCUAAAAUAGUUCUCUAUAAAAAUGAAAACUAUCCAAAAAUAGCAUGUUUUUUCAAAAUUAGUUUAAAAAUGCAACCUAUUGAUGAAAAAUUCUGAAAGAAUACUCAUCUAAUAACAAAAAUUCUUGAUAUACUAAUUUCUAAGUCACAAUCCAAAAUCUACACUAGUUCUCUUUAAAAAUGAAACCUAUCCAAAAAUACUAGGUUUUAAAAAAAAUAUUUUAAAAAUGCAACUUAUUGAUGAAAAUUUUCGGAAGAGUACUCAUCUAUCAACAAAAAUUCUAGUUAACCUAAUUCCUAAGUCACAAUCCAAAACAUAUAAUAGUUAUCUAUAGAAAUAAAAACUUCCUAAAAAUAGCAGCUUUCAUAAAAAUUAUUUAAAAAAUGCAACCUAUUGAUGAAAAAUUCUUAAAUAAUACUCAUCUAUAAACAAAAAUUCUUGUUAUCUUUAUUUCUAAGUCACAAUCCCAAAUUUACAAUAGUUCUCUGUAAAAUCAAAACUUUCCAAAAAUAGGAGGCUUUUCAAAAUUUAUUUAAAAAAUGCAACCUAUCGAUGAAAAAUUAUGAAAGAAUACUCUUCUAUUACAAAAAUUCUUGUUAUAGUAAUUUCUAAGUCACAAUCCAAAACCUACAAUAUUUCUCUAUAAAAAUGAAAAUUAUCCAAAAAUAACAGAUUUUUUCAAAAUUAUUUUAUAAAUGCAACCUUUUGUUGAAAAAAUCUGAAAGAAUAUUAAUCUAAUAACAAAAACUCUUGAUAUACUAAUUUCUAAGUCACAAUCCAAAAUCUACAAUAGGUCUCUUUAAAAAUGAAAACUAUCUAAAAAUAGUAGGUUUUAAAAAAAUUAUUUUAAAAAUGCAACCUAUUGAUUAAAAAUUCUGAAAGAAUACUCAUCUAUAAACAAAAAUUCUUAUUAUCUUUAUUUCCAAGUCACAGUCCCAAAUCUACAAUAGUUCUCUAUUAAAAUGAAAAUUUUCCAAAAAUAGUAAGUUCUUACAAAAGCAUUUUAAAAAUACAACAAAUUGAUGAAAUAUUCUGAAAGAAUACUCAUCUAUAAAAAAAAAUCUUGUUAUCCUUGUUGAUAGAUGUGUAUUCUUUUAGAAUUUUUGAUCAAUAGGAUGUAACUUUUAUAUAAUUUUCUAAAAGCUGCUAUUUAAGGAAAGUUUUCAUUUUUAUAGUGAAAUAUUGAAGAUUUAGGAUUUUGAUUUAGAAAUUGGGAUAAGUAGAGUUUUUCUUGUUAGAUGUGUAUUCUUUUAUAAUUUUUGAUCAAUAGGAUGUAAUUUUUAAAUAAUUUUCUAUAAGCUGCUAUUUAAGGAAAUUUUUCAUUUUUAUAGAAAAAUAUUGUAGAUUUGGGAUUGUGAUUUAGAAAUUGGGAUUAAAAAUAGUUUUUGUUGUUAGAUGUGUAUUCUUUUAGAUAUUUUGAUCAAUAGGAUGUAUUUUUUAAAAUAUUUUCUAAAAGCUACUAUUUAAGGAAAAUUUUCAUUUUUAUACAGAAAUAUUGUAGAUUUGGGAUUAUGAUUUAGAAAUUAGGAUAAAAAGAGUUUUUGUUGUUAGAUAUGUAUUCUUUUGUUAGAAAUUUGGGAUUAUAGUUUUUCUUGUUAGAUAUGUAUUGUUUUACAAUUUUUGAUCAAUAGGAUGUAUUUUUUAAAUAAUUUUCUAAAACCUGCUAUUAAAGGAAACUUUUCAUUUUUAUAGACAAUUAUUGAAGAUUUAAGAUUGUGAUUUAGAAAUUUGGAUAAAUAUAGUUUUUCUUGUUAGAUAUGUAUUCUUUUAGAAUUUUUAAUCAAUUUGUUGUAUUUUUUAAAUAUUUUUUUUCAAAAACCUGGUAUUUUAGGAAAGUUAUCAUUUUUUAUAGAGAAAUAUUGUAGAUUUGGGAUUGUGAUUUAGAAAUUAGGAUAAAAAAGUUUUUGUUGAAAGAUGAGUAUUCUUUUAGAAUUUUUGAUCAAUAGGAUAUAUUUUUAAAAUAAUUUUCUAAAAGCUGCUAUUUAAAAAAAAAAUCAUUUUGAUAGAGAGAUAUUGUAGAUUUGGGAUUGUGAUUUAUAAAUUAGGAUAAAUUUUUUUAUUAUUAUUAGAUGUGUAUUCUUUUAGAUUUUUUUGAUCAAUAGGAUAUAUUUUUAAAUAAUUUUCUACAACCUGAUAUUUAAGGAAACUUUUCAUUUUUAUAGAGAAUUAUUGAAGAUUUAGGAUUGUUAUUUAGAAAAUGAGAUAAAAAGAGUUUUUGUUAUUACAUGUGUAUUCUUUUAGAACUUUUGAUUAAUAGGAUGUAUUUUUUAAAUAAUUUUUUUAAAGCUACUAUUUAAGGAAACUUUUCAUUUUUAUAAAGAAAUAUUGUAGAUUUAGAUUGUGAUUUAGAAAAUGAGAUAAAAAGAGUUUUUGUUGUUAGAUUUGUAUUCUUUUAGAACUUUUGAUCGAUAUAAUGUAUUUUUUAAAUAAUUUUCUAAAGGCUACUAUUUAAGAAAAGUUUUCAUUUUAAUAGAGCAACUAGAUUUUGACCCGCGCUUUCAAAGCGCGGGUUUAUUUUUGAUUUUUUUUCAAUUGACAAAUAUUUAGUAAAUGUCACAUUUUCAUAUAUUUGUGUUUUAUUUUAUAAAAGACUUAAAAUUUUUAUCUUUAUUUAUCGUAUUUCAUUUUAAAUGACUAUUUAUGUUAAAAAAAUUAAACUUUAUUUUUUUAAUGAAUUAAGUUGGUAUAACUCUGAUAAAUUAAUUUUAUUAUGGGGUUAAUAUUUUAAUUAAAAAAUUAUAUACUUUUAAAAAAGAUUUAUACUUUUCAAUAAAAAAAUUCAAUUAUUUUUAUGAAUGCUUAAAUUAUAUUAAGAAAAAAAAAUAAUAAUAAUUAAGAAUAGUUGAAAAAAAAUUAUUUGAACUUGGACUCAAUGGUCCAAAGGAAAAAAAAUGUGAGAAUUGAAUCUGAUUUUUUAAUAGGUCCAAAUGGGCCAAAGAGAGAUUUGAUUUGGGCUGGAUCCAAAAAUAAUGACUCAAUAUAGAUUUGUUAUUAAUAUUACUUAAUUGCCCUUAAUGAAACAUGCAAUGUUAGUGAAGGAAACAUGCCCCUAAGGUAAUUAUGACAAUAGGAUCCUGCUUUAAUAGUAUAGAUAUUGUAGAUUUGGACUCGUGAUUUAGAAAUUAGGAUAACAAGAAUUUUUGUUGAAAGAUAAGUAUUCUUUUAAAUUUUUUGAUUAAUAUGUUGUAUAUUUUAAAUUAUUUUUUCCACAAAGCCUGCUAUUUUAGGAAAGUUUUCUUUUUAUACCAAAAUAUACAAUAGUUCUCUAUAGAAAUAAAAACUUUCCAAAAUAGCAGGUUUCCUAAAAAUUAUUGAAAAAAAUACAAUCUAUUAAUGAAAAAUUCUAAAAGAAUACUCAUCUAUCAACAAAAAUUCUUGUUAUCCUUAUUCCCAAUUCACAAUCCCAAAUCUACAAUAGUUCUUUAUAAAAUGAAAACUUUCCAAAAAUAGGUGGCUUUUCAAAAAGUAUUUAAAAAAUGCAAACUAUCGAUGAAAAAUUCUGAAAGAAUACUCAUUUAAUAACAAAAAUUCUUGAUAUACUAAUUUCUAGGUCACAAUCCAAAAUCAACAAUGGUUCUCUUUAAAAUUGAAAACUAUCCAAAAAUAGUAGGUUUUUUAAAAAGUAUUUUAAAAUGCAUAUUAUUGAUGAAAAUUUGUGAAAGAAUACGCAUCUAUAAAAAAAAAUUCUUGUUAUCUUUAUCUCUAAGUCACAAUCUCAAAUCUACAAUAAUUUUCCAUUAAAAUGAAAACUUUCCAAAAGUAGCAAGUUCUUACAAAAUUAUUUUAAAAUUGCAAUAUAUUGAAGGAAAAUUCUGAAAGACUACUCAUCUAUAAAAAAAAAAUUCUUGUUAUCUUUAUUUCUAAGUCACAAUCCUAAAUCUACAAUAGUUCUCUAUUAAAAAAAAACAUUCCAAAAAUAGCAUAUUCUUAAAAAAUUAUUUAAGAAAUGCAACCUAUUGAUGAAAAAUUCUGAAAGAGUACUCAUCU
rnacentral:lncRNA from 1 species